UACGUAGGUGGCAAGCGUUGUCCGGAUUUAUUGGGCUUAAAGGGUGCGUAGGCGGCCUAUUAAGUCAGUUCUGAAAUAUCCCGGCUUAACCGGGAGGGUGGGAUUGAUACUGAUGGGCUUGAGUGGAAUCGAGGUAGGCGGAAUUGACGGUGUAGCGGUGAAAUGCUUAGAUAUCGUCAAGAACACCGAUAGUGUAGACAGCUUACUAGACUUCAACUGACGCUGAGGCACGAAAGUGUGGGGAUCAAACAGG
rnacentral:rRNA from 1 species